CCCAUACUGGCAGACGCGGCAGGGAGCUUAGCGCGCUUUGGCGGUGGGCUUCUGCCGGUUCUUGUUAACGGACAGCGAUGCUGAAGGCUAAGAUCCUCUUCGUGGGUCCUUGCGAGAGUGGCAAAACAGUGCUCGCCAACUUUCUGACUGAAUCUUCAGACAUCACUGAAUACAACCCAACACAAGGUGUGAGGAUCCUAGAGUUUGAGAACCCACAUGUCACCAGCAACAACAAAGGCACAGGCUGCGAAUUUGAGCUCUGGGACUGUGGUGGUGACUCCAACAACAGUUCCUCCAAGACAGUCACUGCAUGCUUGUGGCCCACCACAAACCGGGGUCUGGAGGAGACAAGAGCAACCUGGCUUUGUCUCCCCCCUUGAACAAGUUGAAGCUGGUGCACUCAAAUCUGGAGGAAGACCCCGAGGAGGUCCGGGUGGAGUUCAUCAAGUAUUUAAAAAGCAUCAUCAACUCCAUGUCGGAGAGCAGAGACCGUGAGGAGAUGCUCAUCAUCACCUAAUGUCCCUGUGCCGCUGCCUCCCAAAGGACGCUGACCCCCCAGACAGAGCUGACGUCCCGCCCAGCCGCUGACAAGCCCUUCUCCUAUGGCUGCAGUUCCUUAUCUGCUAAGGGUCCAGGAAGAGUCAGGCAUGGUGGCACACGCCUGUGAUCCUAGCUCUGGAGAGGCUGAGGUAGGAGGAAGGUUGAGAGUUCAAGGCCAGCCUGGGCUACAUAGAGAGCCCUUAUCUCAUCCCAUCUGCAGAAGCCACCCUGCUUGCCUGUCUCAGCUGUCCUUCAUAAACAUAUCCUUCCGGCAGCCCUAGUACUGUAUUUUCAGGUUGAGCUAUUUACUGGUGAUUAAUGGGAUGAAGUGGCCCAAAGCAGAUUGAUGGCGUGAUCUCUGGGGUCCCCAAGUGCAGAAAGGGAACACGUGCUGUCAGAGAGUCAACAAUGGGGACAGUGAGAUGGUUCACUUGCUGCCAAGCCUGACAACCCAAACCCAAUGCCCAGAACCCACUUAAAGGCGGAAGGAGAGAUCCGACCCCACAGAGUAAUCCUCUGACCUGGAGAGAAGGAUCUGUGGGCAAGAGCUCAUGCUGAGGUCCUGGGUUCAGACUCCUGCACCCACACUGGGCAGCUAUGAUUGUAACUCUAGUUCCAGGAGAGCCAAAGCCUUCCUCUGGUCCCGGGGCACCUCCCCACAUACAGCACAUGCUCACACAGACUGCGUUAGACACGUUUCUGUUGCUAUAAUAAACACCCUGAUAAGACA
rnacentral:lncRNA from 1 species